GCCCGAGUGGUGGAAUUGGUAGACACGAAGGACUUAAAAUCCUUUGGCCUAAAAAACCGUGCCGGUUCGACUCCGGCCUCGGGCACCA
rnacentral:tRNA from 1 species